UACAGAGGUCUCAAGCGUUGUUCGGAUUCAUUGGGCGUAAAGGGUGCGUAGGCGGCGCGGUAAGUCGGGUGUGAAAUCUCGGAGCUUAACUCCGAAACUGCAUUCGAUACUGCCGUGCUUGAGGACUGGAGAGGAGACUGGAAUUUACGGUGUAGCGGUGAAAUGCGUAGAUAUCGUAAGGAAGACCAGUGGACGGAAGGCGGGUCUCUGGAGCAGUUCCUGACGCUGAGGCACGAAGGUCAGGGGAGCAAACGGG
rnacentral:rRNA from 1 species